AUGAACACCGCACGCAAUACUUACUCCAAUGGGGACAAGAGCCAAACUGACAGACAUGUUGCCAAUCAAACUGACAGACUGAUUUCUGGCGAAGAAACAGAACCGAUCAAGAAGCUGUCCACACAUCAUCUUCUUGCGCAAGUUGAAGAGUUGGGGAAUCCCAACCGCUCCGCCGUCGCUACGGUCAACAGUAAAAUACCACUUUCUCUAGAAGGAACAGUAAAAUACUACAGAUCUGAAGAAAACAGUAAAAUAUCACGAGCAGGACGAAGAGAGCUCCUCAGUUCAUCAGCCGCGGCAUGA
rnacentral:rRNA from 1 species